AUUGAACGCUGGCGGCAGGCCUAACACAUGCAAGUCGAGCGGAUGAAGGGAGCUUGCUCCUGGAUUCAGCGGCGGACGGGUGAGUAAUGCCUAGGAAUCUGCCUGGUAGUGGGGGAUAACGUCCGGAAACGGGCGCUAAUACCGCAUACGACCUGAGGGAGAAAGUGGGGGAUCUUCGGACCUCACGCUAUCAGAUGAGCCUAGGUCGGAUUAGCUAGUUGGUGGGGUAAAGGCCUACCAAGGCGACGAUCCGUAACUGGUCUGAGAGGAUGAUCAGUCACACUGGAACUGAGACACGGUCCAGACUCCUACGGGAGGCAGCAGUGGGGAAUAUUGGACAUUGGGCGAAAGCCUGAUCCAGACAUGCCGCGUGUGUGAAGAAGGUCUUCGGAUUGUAAAGCACUUUAAGUUGGGAGGACGGGCAGUAAGUUAAUACCUUGCUGUUUUGACGUUACCAACAGAAUAAGCACCGGCUAACUUCGUG
rnacentral:rRNA from 1 species